AUCUUAGACAAUGGGGGAAACCCUGAUCUAGCCAUGCCGCGUGGACGAUGAAGGCCUUAGGGUUGUAAAGUCCUUUCGCUGGGGAAGAUAAUGACGGUACCCAGUAAAGCAGCCCCGGCUAACUCCGUGCCAGCAGCCGCGGUAAUACGGAGGGGGCUAGCGUUGUUCGGAAUUACUGGGCGUAAAGCGCGCGUAGGCGGAUAGUUAAGUCGGGGGUGAAAUCCCGGGGCUCAACCCCGGAACUGCCUUCGAUACUGGCUGUCUAGAGUUCUGGAGAGGUGAGUGGAAUUCCGAGUGUAGAGGUGAAAUUCGUAGAUAUUCGGAGGAACACCAGUGGCGAAGGCGGCUCACUGGCCAGAUACUGACGCUGAGGUGCGAAAGCGUGGGGAGCAAACAGG
rnacentral:rRNA from 1 species